ACUAUGGUUGAAAUUUUAGAACUGAGAGUGUAAAAGUAUACACCGUUAAAAAUAAAUAGUUUAUAAAAAUAUGUUGGAAAUAAAUAGUUUAUUUCCGAAUUAUUUUAUGUGUGCUUUGAUAGUAUAUUUAUUUUGUGUAGACUGAUAAUUAAUAUUUUCUCUAGACUGUGAAUUUAAGAAAAAUAAUUUUAGAAAUCAAUCAUGAAAUAUUUCAGUAGACUAUGAUAAAAGUUUGGGCUUAAAAUUCAACCGGAUUUCUGACAGUUGUUUACUCAACAGUAUAAUUUUAAUCCCAGAAAAAGAAAAGAAAAACAUCUUUUAGACCAGAAAAAUAUCUAUGUUAUUAAAAUUAAAUGAAAAAUAAAAUGAAAGAUUAAGAGAUAAGCAUGCAUUUAAUUUUAAGAUAAGAACUACACCUAUGCAUACAAGGUGGCUAAUUUUUCUUCACAAAUUGAAAGUGAAAACGUGGACUGAGAAUUUACCAUGUAGCAGUAGAAUUAGAAAUCUAUAAAUAGGGUCUUAACAUUCACUUUUUACACACAAUUAUCACUCUCACAACUCACAAAAAGCUAGGAAUUUCAAUUAAGGUAUCAUAGAAGAAGGCGAUCGUUCAAGUUAUUUUGGAAAGCUCUGAGUUAGUGCAGGAUACUAAGACCUCAAGUUGAAGUUCAUUGAAAAAAAGAAAAAUGGCAUUGUGAGAGACAUUAAAAUAAAGAACGUUAGUGCUGAUUGGUGGUCUAGUUUUAUUUUCGAAGUCCGAAGAGAAAAAUCUCUUUGAUAUGUAUUGAUGACGUCAUUGGAGUACUCUCUAGGUGACAUGUAUCUUUAGUGUUUGACCAGCUUGUGAUCAUUUGUGGGUUAGAGUCUUUUGUAGGAAUUUAUUUUUUAUCAUUUUAAAUUGAAAAAUUGUACGAUACUUAUGUGAAAUGGAAAUGUUUUAUAUUUGAAAAUCCUUUGAGCAAAAUUACUAGAUGAUUGUUUGAUAUAAGUGAUGCACAUUAUUUAUGGGCUUACCUCCGAUUUACAUAAAGUGUAUUUUGAAAUUACUUAAAGAAACAAAAAAUAAUACUCAUAUAUUAGAGUACAUUUCUCACUUAUUACUUUCUUUUUAAGAAAAAUAAACCAGCAUAAUUUUAUUUGCUUGUAUUUAAGCAUUUAAAUUUGGGUAGAGAACUGUGACGCUCUUCUUUUCAGUCUCUGAAAAGGGGGUGUUACAAUUAGUGGUAUCAGAGCUGGUCGAGUCUUUCGGGAGUCUUUGGGGAAUAUGUUCAUUAUGCUUUUGUUGUGUCAACUAUGUUUGCUUUUGUUAUGUGAUUUUUGUUUGCUUUUGUGGUGUGAUCUUUGUUCGAACUUGUUGGAUUAAUUGUAGUUAAGAUAAAUGUGUUUUCAUUCCAAGUUUCUUUUAGUAACAUAUGGGGUAUAAGGAAGGUCUAAUCAUAAUGGCAAUUUUUGUGAGUCAUUUAAGUGCAGAUGAUGACAACUUGGAUAUGUGUCGGGAAUGAGUAGAACUCAUGAUGGUUAGUCAAUUUUCCUUUUUUGUGUAGAUUAAGAAACUUUAUUGAAAGAUGUUGAUACUUUAAAUUAUUGAGAAUAUAGUUGGUUGACUAGUAUAGAUAAAUAGAUAAUAAUGGGAUCUAAUGAUUUUCUAUAUGCAUAACUAGUUAAUAGAGAAUGAGUAAUAAUAGAGAAUCAUAGAAAAAUCUUAGAAUGUUUAGGAAAACAUUAGUUUUAUAUGACUAAUAAUUAUGAUAAUUUUAUGAUAGACUUAGAGUAUAGUAAGAGGUCUUGCUUGUUUGAGAGUCUUAUGGAUUGAAAUUUUACUUCACUAAGAGAAUCAAUGGUCAUAUAUGUAGGUGAUUACGUAGUUCAAGAAUAGGUAACAUUGUGUUAGCUUAUGGCUAGUUGAAUAAUAUGUGAGCAUGGAAUUUAGUAGACUUUAGCGCGGAUGCCAAUUUUUAGAAAUGGUAUUACGAUAAGGAAAAAAAAAACAUAGUAAAUCCUAAAGAAAUUUAAGUAAGAGUUUGUUAAGGUAAAAUUUUAGGGACAUGAGAUUUUGCUUUGCUAGUCUUUGUUUUGAUGGUAUAGGAUUCCUUAUUUUUUUUUGUUAUUAGGCUAACUGCCGCGUUGCUGCAUUUUUGUGGUUAGGUAAGUACAAAUUGAUUGUUUUGGUUUCUAGUAUGGUGUAUUGGUUUUGCUAUGUUUUGUUGGUCACGCUAUGCUUGCACAAUUUUUGUUCUUGUUGUGUUUCCCCUAUUAUAGGCAUUUAUUGUAGUUAUGUAGGAAUUAUUAUAAAUAAAAUUGUGUUGUUUCAAAAUUUUAAGAAAAUAAAUAAAUUAAGACUCAUAGUUAAGGUUAAUUAUGUUAAAAUUGGAAGAGUGUGUCUAUGGUCAAUUUUACUUUGCAGUAAGUUAUGUGAAACAAACUAGUUCUAUAGAAUGAACCAAUACAAGACUACUAGAGUAAAUUUUAGAAUUGAUGAAAUAUGAUUAUUUUGAUAAGUGAAAAUAAAAUAUAUUUUACCAUGAGUUUGAGGUAUUUGAUUGUGGUUUAUUUUAGAAAGUUUAAUUUUAGUUAUUAAGAAUAUGAUUGAAUACUUUUAGUUGGAAAAUAUAGCACACACUUGUUGCAAAUAUAGAUAGAUUAUAUUUCAAAAAAAAAAAAAAAAGAGUAGAUUUUAUUUUUUUUUUAGAAAAGAAAAAGUGAGUAGAUUUAGGGUUAGUUGUAAGAACUAUAGUUGACAAAAGAAUUUCUAUUGGAUAGUAUGGUUAAGGGAUGAUAUCUAAGUAAGUAUGAAGACUUGAGCUUCAAAUAAUGAUAUAGUAAAUAAUAAGUUUUGAGGAGAGUAAAACAAUAUAAGUGGAGGUUUUAAUAUCAAAAUGGUGUUGUGGUUUAAGUUGAGUGGUUCACUUUGGAAUAGUGGAGAAUAUAUAGUAGGUAUAUAUUAAUCCUAUGAACUUCUUAGAAGAAGAAUCUUUAUUUUAGUUUUGGAUGAAACUUUAGUUUCUACCAAGAUAGAAUUAUAGUAUAAGCAUGACUAGUCUUUUGAUAUAAUUUUAAUGGUAUAGAAAGAGUUUGGGUGGUAUAUAGGAAAAACAUCUCAGCCUAUACAUAAAUUGUUAUACCUUCAGUUGGAUUUUAUUAGUGGAAGGGAGAUUAUUUUUUUGGAUUUAUCGAUUCUUAUAUUAUAUAUACCGAGUUUAGGAAAAGAAAAAAAAAAAAAAAAAGAAGUUGGACUCUGAAAAAUAUUGAUCGGAUUAUGAAUUUUGAUUUAGAUAUUAGAAAUUUUCAAUACAUAGAAUUGUGAUUAAUUUUGCAAGUGUGGAAUGAACUUGUGUGGCAUCUAAGUUUGAAACGUUAGCUUUAUAUAACUGAGAUAAGAAAGUUAAAAGUAUAUUGAUUGGACUAGGAAAUUUUAUUUGUGGAUUACAAAUUCCUAAGACUUAGAAAUAUAGUUAGGAUCGAUGGCUAUGAAUACAUAUUUUUUGAGAUAAAUGUGAACCCAAAAUUAAUUAUGGAAAUUGAACUUAUGAAAAUGAAUUUUAUAAGUAGUAUAGAGUAUAGUUAUAGUUAAGUUUUGAUCGUAAUUUUAGCAAGGCUAUAGAAAACUAUAGGAACAUGAUAUCUUAAAAGAUUUGCUAAAGAACUAUAUAUUCUUUUGAGUAAGUAAACUGAAAAGAUUAUGUACAUAUGUUUUUAGGAAUAUAAUUUAAAGUAACCAAAUUUUUCUAAAUAUACAUGUCUUAAAUUUCUUUCAUACAAAUUUCGAGGACGAAAUUUUUUUAAGAGGGGUAGUAAUGUAACACCCCAAAUUUUAUAAACUAGUAUUUUCUUUAUAUUAUUAAUUUAAGUAUUUUUAUAAAAUAAAUUUGAUGAUUUAGUUAUAUUUUCACAAUAGUUUGUGAAAAUAAUUUAUUUAAAGAGUAUACAAUAUCAUGUUAGUCCUAGUUAUAUGUCUAAAGCGUGAGAAUGUUUAAAUAAUUAUUUUCUUGAAAAUAAACUUUAGAUAAAGAAAACCUAUAGAUCUAAUCUAUUAAUUAAAUGUAAACUAUGGUUGAAAUUUUAGAACUGAGAGUGUAAAAGUAUACACCGUUAAAAAUAAAUAGUUUAUAAAAAUAUGUUGGAAAUAAAUAGUUUAUUUCCGAAUUAUUUUAUGUGUGCUUUGAUAGUAUAUUUAUUUUGUGUAGACUGAUAAUUAAUAUUUUCUCUAGACUGUGAAUUUAAGAAAAAUAAUUUUAGAAAUCAAUCAUGAAAUAUUUCAGUAGACUAUGAUAAAAGUUUGGGCUUAAAAUUCAACCGGAUUUCUGACAGUUGUUUACUCAACAGUAUAAUUUUAAUCCCAGAAAAAGAAAAGAAAAACAUCUUUUAGACCAGAAAAAUAUCUAUGUUAUUAAAAUUAAAUGAAAAAUAAAAUGAAAGAUUAAGAGAUAAGCAUGCAUUUAAUUUUAAGAUAAGAACUACACCUAUGCAUACAAGGUGGCUAAUUUUUCUUCACAAAUUGAAAGUGAAAACGUGGACUGAGAAUUUACCAUGUAGCAGUAGAAUUAGAAAUCUAUAAAUAGGGUCUUAACAUUCACUUUUUACACACAAUUAUCACUCUCACAACUCACAAAAAGCUAGGAAUUUCAAUUAAGGUAUCAUAGAAGAAGGCGAUCGUUCAAGUUAUUUUGGAAAGCUCUGAGUUAGUGCAGGAUACUAAGACCUCAAGUUGAAGUUCAUUGAAAAAAAGAAAAAUGGCAUUGUGAGAGACAUUAAAAUAAAGAACGUUAGUGCUGAUUGGUGGUCUAGUUUUAUUUUCGAAGUCCGAAGAGAAAAAUCUCUUUGAUAUGUAUUGAUGACGUCAUUGGAGUACUCUCUAGGUGACAUGUAUCUUUAGUGUUUGACCAGCUUGUGAUCAUUUGUGGGUUAGAGUCUUUUGUAGGAAUUUAUUUUUUAUCAUUUUAAAUUGAAAAAUUGUACGAUACUUAUGUGAAAUGGAAAUGUUUUAUAUUUGAAAAUCCUUUGAGCAAAAUUACUAGAUGAUUGUUUGAUAUAAGUGAUGCACAUUAUUUAUGGGCUUACCUCCGAUUUACAUAAAGUGUA